UUUAAUUCGAAGCAACGCGCAGAACCUUACCAUCCCUUGACAUGUCGUGCCAUCCGGAGAGAUCCGGGGUUCCCUUCGGGGACGCGAACACAGGUGCUGCAUGGCUGUCGUCAGCUCGUGUCGUGAGAUGUUGGGUUAAGUCCCGCAACGAGCGCAACCCACGUCCUUAGUUGCCAUCAUUCAGUUGGGCACUCUAGGGAGACUGCCGGUGAUAAGCCGCGAGGAAGGUGUGGAUGACGUCAAGUCCUCAUGGCCCUUACGGGAUGGGCUACACACGUGCUACAAUGGCGGUGACAGUGGGACGCGAAGGAGCGAUCUGGAGCAAAUCCCCAAAAACCGUCUCAGUUCAGAUUGCACUCUGCAACUCGAGUGCAUGAAGGCGGAAUCGCUAGUAAUCGUGGAUCAGCAUGCCA
rnacentral:rRNA from 1 species